rnacentral:rRNA from 1 species
UACGGAGGGUGCAAGCGUUAAUCGGAAUUACUGGGCGUAAAGAGCACGUAGGCGGUUUUGUAAGUUAGGUGUGAAAGUCCAGGGCUUAACCUUGGGAGGUCAUCUAAAACUGCAAUGCUAGAGUCUGGUAGAGGGGGGUGGAAUUUCCGGUGUAGCGGUGAAAUGCGUAGAGAUCGGAAGGAACAUCAGUGGCGAAGGCGGGCAUCUGGGCCAACACUGACGCUGAGGCGCGAAAGCUAGGGGAGCAAACAGG